rnacentral:tRNA from 1 species
GUGAGCAUAGUUUAAAAAAACAUUAGAUUGUGAUUCUAAAAAUAGAGAAUAAUACUCCCUUACUCACC